rnacentral:rRNA from 1 species
AGUGAACGCUGGCGGUAGGCCUAACACAUGCAAGUCGAACGGCAGCACAGUAAGAGCUUGCUCUUACGGGUUGCGAGUGGCGGACGGGUGAGGCAUACAUCGGAAUCUACUUUUUCGUGGGGGAUAACGUAGGGAAACUUACGCUAAUACCGCAUACGACCGACGGGUGAAAGCAGGUGAUCUUCGGACCUUGCGCGAUUGAAUGAGCCGAUGUCGGAUUAGCUAGGUGGCGGGGUAAAGGCCCACCAAGGCGACGAUCCGUAGCUGGUCUGAGAGAAUGAUCAGCCACAAUGGAACUGAGACACGUUCCAGACUCCUAAGGGAGGCAGCAGUGGGGAAUAUUGGACAAUGGGCGAAAGCCUGAUCCAGCCAUACCGCGUGGGUGAAGAAGGCAUUCGGGUUGUAAAGCCUUUUUGUUGGGAAAGAAAAGCAGCAGGUUAAUACCCCGCUGUUCUGACGGUACCCAAAGAAUAAGCACCGGCUACCUUCGUG